rnacentral:rRNA from 1 species
UACAGAGGUCCCAAGCGUUGUUCGGAUUCACUGGGCGUAAAGGGUGCGUAGGUGGUCGGGUAAGUCUGAUGUGAAAUCUCUGGGCUCAACCCAGAAACUGCAUUGGAUACUAUCCGGCUCGAGGAGUGGAGGGGGGACUGGAAUACUUGGUGUAGCAGUGAAAUGCGUAGAUAUCAAGUGGAACACCAGUGGCGAAGGCGAGUCCCUGGACACUUCCUGACACUGAGGCACGAAAGCUAGGGGAGCAAACAGG